rnacentral:ncRNA from 1 species
GUCGUGAGACUUGGGCGAGAGGAAGGGAUAGCGAAAUCGUGGCUUGACGAAUAGAAAUCGGAUAUGAGGCGUACAAGGCGGGUAAGUUGGCUAUAGGCAACAAAGCCCAAAAGAUGACCGUAACCCUUGUGCGUAAAUCCGGCAAGUAAACGAGGAAAGAC